AUUGAACGCUGGCGGUAUGCUUAACACAUGCAAGUCGAACGGUAACAGGCAAAGCUUGCUUUGCGCUGACGAGUGGCGGACGGGUGAGUAACGCGUAGAUAUCUGCCUAGUAGUGGGGGAUAGCCCGGAGAAAUCCGGAUUAAUACCGCAUACGCCCUACGGGGGAAAGAAGGCCUCUUCUUGAAAGCUUUCACUAUUAGAUGAGUCUGCGUCGGAUUAGCUUGUUGGUGAGGUAAUGGCUCACCAAGGCGACGAUCCGUAGCUGGUCUGAGAGGACGAUCAGCCACACUGGGACUGAGACACGGCCCAG
rnacentral:rRNA from 1 species